GUAUUUAUGUGGCUGGGGAGGUAUUGAGAUCAUGUAGGUAGUUUUCCUAGAGUGAGGCUUAUCCAUUUUACUCUGAAUGUGCUGAUCUCUGUUGUUUCCCCAAAUGUGGGAAAUUUGAGUGCAUAACUUGUGGUAGUGGGGGACUACUACUGUAUUAGCACUUU
rfam:Cavia porcellus supercont2_53 genomic scaffold, whole genome shotgun sequence.